AGCCCGUUGCUUUACUUUUUGUUUCACCGACAUAGUCAUUAUGCUGAAGAGAAAGUCUCCAGAGAAUACAGAGGGCAACGAUGGAUCCAAAGUAACUAAACAGGAGCCCACAAGACGGUCUGCCAGAUUGUCGGCGAAACCUGCUCCACCAAAACCUGAACCCAAACCAAGAAAAACAUCUGCUAAGAAAGAACUUGGAGCAAAGAUUAGCAGAGGUGCUAAAGGGAAGAAGGAGGAAAAGCAGGAAGCUGGAAAGGAAGGCACAGAAAACUGAAUCUGUAGAUAACGAGGGAGAAUGAAUUGUCAUGAAAAAUUGGGGUUGAUUUUAUGUAUCUCUUGGGACAACUUUUAAAAGCUAUUUUUACCAAGUAUUUUGUAAAUGCUAAUUUUUUAGGACUCUACUAGUUGGCAUACAAAAAUAUAUAAGGAUGGACAUUUUAUCGUCUCAUAGUCAUGCUUUUUGGAAAUUUACCUCAUCCUCAAGUAAAAUAAAUAUCAGUUAAAUAUUGGAAAGCUGUGUGUAAGAUUGAUUCAGCAUUCCAUGCACUUGCUUUAAAAUUUAGUCCUGUGCAUACUGUGGUGUUUUUACUGUGCAUAUUUGAAUUUUUCAUGCAGUUUUUCUAGAGCAAUAAUCAGUGGUGCUUUUGUACCUAGGUUUUAUGUGAUUUUAAUGAAACAUGGAUAGUUGUGGCCACCUGCUGACUAUUUGUGGUUUAAAAUAAAAGGUUUACUUGUCUG